rnacentral:siRNA from 1 species
CGCAGCGAUACUGACGUGCAAAU